UGGGGAAUCUUGGACAAUGGGGGCAACCCUGAUCCAGCCAUGCCGCGUGAGUGAUGAAGGCCUUAGGGUCGUAAAGCUCUUUCGCCUGUGAAGAUAAUGACGGUAGCAGGUAAAGAAACCCCGGCUAACUCCGUGCCAGCAGCCGCGGUAAUACGGAGGGGGCUAGCGUUGUUCGGAAUUACUGGGCGUAAAGCGCGCGUAGGCGGACUGAUCAGUCAGGGGUGAAAUCCCGGGGCUCAACCCCGGAACUGCCUUUGAUACUGUCAGUCUUGAGUCCGGAAGAGGCGAGUGGAAUACCGAGUGUAGAGGUGAAAUUCGUAGAUAUUCGGUGGAACACCAGUGGCGAAGGCGACUCGCUGGUCCGGUACUGACGCUGAGGUGCGAAAGCGUGGGGAGCAAACAGGA
rnacentral:rRNA from 1 species